GGAGGAAUGUUUGCUCCACUUCUGGGAGUCGCCCGCGAGAGAGAAAACUAGGGUUCAUCCAUCCUUUUCAUGGUGGGAAGGAAAAAUUCGUGGGGAUCCUAGGUCGUUUGCUCAAGUUGUUUCUUCUCCUCCCACCAAGCCUGCAGUAGAUCCCAGCCUCGAAUCGCAUAAGAUGAGGGAAGAAGGGUUUGGUGCUGGCCGCCAUGGCCACGGCGCGGGCCGUUUCAACCACGGCGAGGGGCGCGGUCGUGGGGAUGGAGGUGGUCGCGGGCACGCAGAGGUGGCGGUGGGGGAGAGGACGUGGCCGGGAGAGCCAUGUCUGGACUCGCAAGACGGCCGGGGCUUCCUCCUCCAACGCCCCGUCCGGAUCUGAUGAGACGGGAUUCGAUCGAUGGGAGAAGGCUGCGGGGGCCAGCCAAGACGCCUUUGCUCACCAGGAGCGUUGGGGCUCUGAUGAGGGUGACAAGGCUCUCCACAACUCCUACAACUCUGCGCCUCCUGUUAAGAUGCGUGAGAUCCCUCCUAAUCCUGAUCCUAUGGUUGCUUCUUUUGAAUCCUUUCAAAUCUGCAAUCUGUUAGGCCACCCUACUGCUAAAUUCCCCCAGGCUCUCUAUGUUAGAUGCAAGAAGAAAGGGCAUCUCUCUGUCAUCUGUACUGACUUUCUUCCUUGGGAGUGCAUAGCUGCGAUGUGUGCUUCCAAGCUAAAGUGCAAGGAUUUUCACUAUAUCCAUGAUUACUCUGUUAGUAGUCAGAACAAUGAUAGGAUUGUUAAGGUCAUUAUUACCAUAGUUGAGGGAGAGAUUACCACCAAGAAGCUAGUGGAUGAGUUUGAGAAAUACAUUGGGCAGGGAUGGCGUUGCUCAGCCCAUCUGAUUGCACCAAAACAAUAUGUGAUGCGUUUUCCCAACCAGAGAGAGGUGGAUAGAGCUGUCUUCAUUGAAUACAUUACUCUCAAGUCUCUAGGAGUGGUUGUUUGUAUCACCCCAUGGUCUGAGGAUGUGGAAUCUGAGGGCUUGCUGAAAGUGGGUUGGGUGAAGAUUAGCAAGAUCCCCCCCCCCCCCACAACAAGCGCUGUGAAAAAAAUGUUGCUUUUGUUGGAGGCUUAGUUGGGGUGACCCUGGACAUAUAUAUGUCUACUCUCCACCGUCCCUCUCAUGUUCGUGCUAAAUUGGGAUGUCGCGACAUUGAUAAGCUUCCCACGUCUGCUGAAGGGUGUCUGGGAGGACGUUUCUAUCAUUUUCAGUAUGAGGUUGAGGAGAUUUUGGUGAGGAAUAUGGUCCAAGAAGAAGAGCCCGUCCAGAUCCCACGCUAUGUUGGCCAAAGAGUGAUGACACCUAAGAAAAAAUGGGAUGAUACACCGCCUGAUGAGAAUAAUAAGUCCUCUGAAAGGAAUGAUAACAAAAAUACCUCUUCUUAUCGUGGCGGCAAGGCCUGUUGCAUGCCGUCACUUGAUGAGAAGAAGAAAAUUCAUAAAGAGAACAACGCCUCUUGAAGUGAAACCAGUGGGGCCAGCGGUCCGCUACUGAUCGAGGAGAUGGCACUAGAACUUGCUGCUGCUUGCUCUCAGCAAAAUGUUUCUAUGGUGGCCCCCUCUCAAGAUGAAUAUGGUCUUGAUCCUAUUGAUCAUGAAUCUGACUACGAUCAAACUCUGAAGGUGAUUGCUGCUGUCACUUCACCCUCCUAUGAUUCUGUUGCUAGUCCUUCUUCUAACUCAGAUCAGAUCUCUAAGGUGAUGGGAGAGGUGGAAGAAAACAUGAAGAUAUCCAAGGAUUACAUGGUACAACUUCCUCAUCCUCAUUGCGAGGAGAUUAUUCCUACACCACCACUUGCCCCUGAGCUUCCAGCGCAAUACUCAUCUUCAGCACAUGUAUAUGGAGGCGAGGGCCGCAUAUCUGGUCAAUGUCAAAAAUCUGAAAGGUCUACAGGCGGGCGACGACGUCACGCAACUUCGAGCAGGUGCUGAGAUGAUUCGCAACGGGACCCUGCUGCUGAUGAGGGUCUGCGACGCAACCAAGGGUGGAAUAUGAAGAAAGCUGGAGCGGGUGCUCUGUCGUCGGUCUCUUUUGGCACUUGUUCGCUGGGUGGCUUCGUAGUGGUUGCAUCUUAAAAACUGAGUACUGUUUAGCCCUGUUUCUUUGAUGGCUCUCCAUCCUGUUUUUGUAAUAGGACUAGUGUUAUUCUGGUGCUGCUCAGGUUUUCGUCCCAUAGCACUCGUUUCGAUGACGGGCGAGUGCGGUGGGUUUCCUAGCAGUGCGUUGAACUCGCUCUCCCCUUCUCCCUGUUCUUGGACUAUGUUUUGAACCUUGCAUUUCGGUUCUAAGUAAUCGAAAGGGGAUAGCCCGGUUCAAAAAAAAUUAGUUCA